rnacentral:rRNA from 1 species
GACGAACGCUGGCGGCGUGCUUAACACAUGCAAGUCGAACGAGGCCCUGCCUUCGGGCAGGUGAUCUAGUGGCGAACGGGUGAGUAACACGUGGGCAACCUACCCUCAGCUCUGGGAUAACCCCGGGAACCGGAGCUAAUACCGGAUACGACCAGGAACGACAUCGUGCCUGGUGGAAAGUUUUUCGGUCUGAGGAUGGGCCCGCGGCCUAUCAGCUUGUUGGUGGGGUAAUGGCCUACCAAGGCGACGACGGGUAGCCGGCCUGAGAGGGCGAACGGCCACACUGGGACUGAGACACGGCCCAGACUCCUACGGGAGGCAGCAGUCGCGAACCAUUCACAAUGGACGCAAGUCUGAUGAUGCCCACGCCG